rnacentral:rRNA from 1 species
UCGAGAAGCUUUCGGCAAUGGGCGAAAGCCUGACCGAGCGACGCCGCGUGAGGGAUGACGGCCCUAGUGGUUGUAAACCUCUGUCAGGAGGGAAUAAAGCGUGAUGGUUAAUAGCCUUCAUGUCUGAAGGUACCUCCAAAGGAAGCUCCGGCUAACUCCGUGCCAGCAGCCGCGGUAAUACGGAGGGAGCAAACGUUGUUCGGAUUUACUGGGUGUAAAGGGUGCGUAGGCGGCCCUGUGUGUCAGAGGUGAAAUCCCACGGCUCAACCGUGGAAUUGCCUUUGAAACUGCAGGGCUUGAGUCCGAGAGGGGAAGGUGGAAUUCCUGGUGUAACGGUGAAAUGUGCAGAUAUCAGGAAGAACACCAGUGGCGAAGGCGGCCUUCUGGCUCGGAACUGACGCUGAGGCACGAAAGCUAGGGUAUCGAACGGGAUUAGAUACCCCGGUAGUCCUAGCCGUAAACGAUGUCCACUAGGUGUUGGAGGUCCUACCCCUUCAGUGCCGCAGCUAACGCAUUAAGUGGACCACCUGGGGAGUACGCUCGCAAGGGUG